rnacentral:rRNA from 1 species
GACGAACGCUGGCGGCGUGCCUAAUACAUGCAAGUCGAACGCUGAAGGAGGAGCUUGCUUCUCUGGAUGAGUUGCGAACGGGUGAGUAACGCGUAGGUAACCUGCCUGGUAGCGGGGGAUAACUAUUGGAAACGAUAGCUAAUACCGCAUAAUAGUAGAUGUCGCAUGACAUUUGCUUAAAAGGUGCAAUUGCAUCACUACCAGAUGGACCUGCGUUGUAUUAGCUAGUUGGUGAGGUAACGGCUCACCAAGGCAACGAUACAUAGCCGACCUGAGAGGGUGAUCGGCCACACUGGGACUGAGACACGGCCCAGACUCCUACGGGAGGCAGCAGUAGGGAAUCUUCGGCAAUGGACGGAAGUCUGACCGAGCAACGCCGCGUGAGUGAAGAAGGGUUUCGGAUCGUAAAGCUCUGUUGUAAGAGAAGAACGAGUGUGAGAGUGGAAAGUUCACACUGUGACGGUAUCUUACCAGAAAGAGACGGCUAACUACGUG